rnacentral:rRNA from 1 species
CUCAGAAUGAACGUUGGCGGCGUGGAUUAGGCAUGCAAGUCGUUCGUCCCGCAAGGGACGAGGCGCAAGGGUGAGUAAGGCGAAGGCAACCAACCCCAGACAUGGGUAUAGCCGCGGGAAACUGCGGGUAAUCCCCAGCGACGUCGCGAGGAGACAUCUCCUUGCGACCAAAGGUGUGAUUCCGGUCUGGGACGGGCCUUCGUGGUAUCAGGUUGUUGGUGAGGUAAUGGCUCACCAAGCCGAUGACGCCUACCGGGCGUGCGAGCGUGGCCCGGCACACU